GGGUUGUGAGGUUAAGCGACUAAGCGUACACGGUGGAUGCCCUGGCAGUCAGAGGCGAUGAAGGGCGUGCUAAUCUGCGAUAAGCGCCGGUAAGGUGAUAUGAACCGUUAUAACCGGCGAUACCCGAAUGGGGAAACCCAGUGUGAUUCGUCACACUAUCAUUAACUGAAUCCAUAGGUUAAUGAGGCGAACCGGGGGAACUGAAACAUCUAAGUACCCCGAGGAAAAGAAAUCAACCGAGAUUCCCCCAGUAGCGGCGAGCGAACGGGGAGGAGCCCAGAGCCUGAAUCAGCAUGUGUGUUAGUGGAAGCGUCUGGAAAGGCGCGCGAUACAGGGUGACAGCCCCGUACACAAAAGCGCAUGUGCUGUGAGCUCGAUGAGUAGGGCGGGACACGUGGUAUCCUGUCUGAAUAUGGGGGGACCAUCCUCCAAGGCUAAAUACUCCUGACUGACCGAUAGUGAACCAGUACCGUGAGGGAAAGGCGAAAAGAACCCCGGCGAGGGGAGUGAAAAAGAACCUGAAACCGUGUACGUACAAGCAGUGGGAGCACCCUUUGGGUGUGACUGCGUACCUUUUGUAUAAUGGGUCAGCGACUUAUAUUCUGUAGCAAGGUUAACCGAAUAGGGGAGCCGGAGGGAAACCGAGUCUUAACCGGGCGUUAAGUUGCAGGGUAUAGACCCGAAACCCGGUGAUCUAGCCAUGGGCAGGUUGAAGGUUGGGUAACACUAACUGGAGGACCGAACCGACUAAUGUUGAAAAAUUAGCGGAUGACCUGUGGCUGGGGGUGAAAGGCCAAUCAAACCGGGAGAUAGCUGGUUCUCCCCGAAAGCUAUUUAGGUAGCGCCUCGUGAAUUCAUCUCCGGGGGUAGAGCACUGUUUCGGCUAGGGGGCCAUCCCGGCUUACCAACCCGAUGCAAACUGCGAAUACCGGAGAAUGUUAUCACGGGAGACACACGGCGGGUGCUAACGUCCGUCGUGAAGAGGGAAACAACCCAGACCGCCAGCUAAGGUCCCAAAGUCAUGGUUAAGUGGGAAACGAUGUGGGAAGGCCCAGACAGCCAGGAUGUUGGCUUAGAAGCAGCCAUCAUUUAAAGAAAGCGUAAUAGCUCACUGGUCGAGUCGGCCUGCGCGGAAGAUGUAACGGGGCUAAACCAUGCACCGAAGCUGCGGCAGCGACACUGUGUGUUGUUGGGUAGGGGAGCGUUCUGUAAGCCUGUGAAGGUGUGUCGUGAGGC
rnacentral:rRNA from 4 species